GAGGGUAUAGUUCAGUGGUAGAGUGUUUGCUUAGCAAGCAUGAGAUCCUGGGUUCAAUCCUCAGUCUCCAUU
rnacentral:tRNA from 1 species